GACGAACGCUGGCGGCGUGCUUAACACAUGCAAGUCGAACGGAAAGGCCCUGCUUUUGUGGGGUGCUCGAGUGGCGAACGGGUGAGUAACACGUGAGUAACCUGCCCUUGACUUUGGGAUAACUUCAGGAAACUGGGGCUAAUACCGGAUAGGAGCUCCUGCUGCAUGGUGGGGGUUGGAAAGUUUCGGCGGUUGGGGAUGGACUCGCGGCUUAUCAGCUUGUUGGUGGGGUAGUGGCUUACCAAGGGUUUGACGGGUAGACGGCCUGAGAGGGUGAACGGCCACAUUGGGACUGAGAUACGGCCCAGACUCCUACGGGAGGCAGCAGUGGGGAGUAUUGCACAAUGGGCGGAAGCCUGAUGCAGCAACGCCGCGUGCGGGAUGACGGCCUUCGGGUUGUAAACCGCUUUCGCCUGUGACGAAGCGUGAGUGACGGUAAUGGGUAAAGAAGCACCGGCUAACUACGUG
rnacentral:rRNA from 1 species